GUUUUUUGUUUUGUUUUGGGGCUUUUUUGUUUUUUAAUUUUAACAAAUUUUUCAGCUUCAGCUACAUGUUUGUUCGAUGCAGAUGACGGGAGAACUGUUUCUUUUAUUUUGAUGAAGAGAAACUUUGAUUUUUCUUAAGGAUGAGCUCCUCCACAUUGUCCAUAAAAAUUGGAUGUAUUUAAAUUUUUAUUCACAUCUAACUUCAGAUACAUAGGAUUUGGUAAUUCAGCCAUUGCUGUAGAUUUAAAACUUGAUUUACAGGAAAUUUACGUUGCUUAAUUUAGGCAGUACAACAGGUUUUGACCUUUAGGAGAGAGCCAAUUCUGGAGAACAACCUAACUUCUUUGAUUGAACAUUCACAUAAUGCAUUGGAACAUGAUAGGAGAUUAAGCUGGGGGAGCAGGGGCUGGGAGAUUGCUGCUGCUUGUCAGCUGUUGUACAGAAUAGCAUCAAUAUGCAAUAAUGGUGGCCAAAGGAGCCUGCACCCACCAGCUUUCACAGACCAGGUUUAAUGAUAGAAUGAAGACCAUAAUAGAACAGUUCCCCUACGUAGCCCAGCAAUUCUUAUGUUAUACGCAUUCUUACCUACUUGCUGAAGAGGUCUUUUGA
rnacentral:lncRNA from 1 species